GACGAACGCUGGCGGCGUGCUUAACACAUGCAAGUCGAGCGGUAAGGCCCUUUCGGGGUACGACGAGCGGCGAACGGGUGAGUAACACGUGGGUGACCUGCCCUUAGCUCUGGGAUAAGCCUGGGAAACUGGGUCUAAUACCGGAUAUGACUCCAUGACGCAUGUUGUGGGGUGGAAAGCCUUGUGCGGCUAGGGAUGGGCCCGCGGCCUAUCAGCUUGUUGGUGGGGUGAUGGCCUACCAAGGCGACGACGGGUAGCCGGCCUGAGAGGGCGACCGGCCACACUGGGACUGAGACACGGCCCAGACUCCUACGGGAGGCAGCAGUGGGGAAUCUUGCGCAAUGGGCGAAAGACCUGACGCAGCGACGCCGCGUGAGGGAUGACGGCCUCGGUUGUAA
rnacentral:rRNA from 1 species